GUAAUGCAGGCCCAUCUUCACCUACUCUAUAGGCAAGGCCCAACUUUACUGACUAUUCACAUUGGUGGAAAAAAAAAAAGAGGAAGAAGAAAAGAAAAAAAAAGAUUGAAAAUCUCGCCGGUUUAUGGAAGAAAGUCAGAGGGCGAGAGGAUAACUUCGCCGUUGGUGAUCAUAUACCGGCUAUCGGAGCUAAGCCUUCUGGCAAAAAGGUAAAAUUUUCUCUUUCUCUGGGUUUAUAUUUCUAAAAGUUCUAACCAUGAUUGGUUGUGAGCUGCAGUUAUGGGGAAUAGUGUUGAAGGAAUUUUAUUGGUUGAAUGAAGACUGGGGGAUUUUUAUUAAGGUUGAUCAAAUCUGGCAUCACUGUAAAUGCAUGUGUGAUUAAGAAUACUUGUUUUCUGCUACUUGAGAUUUGAUUAUCAUUUUUUGAUUGUUUACUACUUGUACUGUGACGACUGCAUUGUGGGUACAUGAGUUUUAUCUUUUCUUUUUCUUUUACUAAAUAACUUUAUUUCUUCAA